CGGCGGACGGGUAGAGUAAUAGCAUAGGAAUACUAGCCCGAUAGUAGGGGGAUAACCUAGGGGAAACCCAGGCUAAUACCGCAUACGUACCUACGGGAGAAAGGGGGCUCCGGCUCCCGCUAUGGGAUGAGCCUAUGUCGGAUUAGCUAGUUGGUGAGGUAACGGCUCACCAAGGCCACGAUCCGUAGCUGGUCUGAGAGGAUGAUCAGCCACAUCGGGACUGAGACACGGCCCGAACUCCUACGGGAGGCAGCAGUGGGGAAUAUUGGACAAUGGGGGAAACCCUGAUCCAGCCAUGCCGCGUGUGUGAAGAAGGCCCUCGGGUUGUAAAGCACUUUCAGCGAGGAAGAACGCCUAGCGGUUAAUACCCGCUAGGAAAGACAUCACUCGCAGAAGAAGCACCGGCUAACUCCGUGCCAGCAGCCGCGGUAAUACGGAGGGUGCAAGCGUUA
rnacentral:rRNA from 1 species